ACUCUGACCACUCGUGGUGUUAGUGGCGCUGCCACUAGUGGUGUUUGUGGUGGUGGUAGUGCUGCUUGUCCCGGUGGCUACCAAGCUCAAUGGACCGUACGCGACGAGGUUUUGAGACCCAAACUCGUGCUUCUCGAGAUAGCCUGUGGUUUUGUUGAUUCCGGGGCCGACUUGCCAGACCUGGUUCACAGUCUCCGCCUUCUCGGGAACCUUGACGGUAGCGAAGAUCGUUAGGGUUCCGCUGGCGAGCUCGGCGCUGGUGUCCCAGAAGUCGAAGGCGAGCUUUCCGGGAGUGAGGAUGUUGUAAGAGGUGAUGUUGAGGGUUUUGAUGGCCGGGAUGCCGUCUUCUUUGGUGUAGGCGACGAUGGCUUGAGCGCCGGACAUUUUGGUGCCGGUGGGGUUGAUGGCCCAGGCGAUCCAGCCGCCGGGCUUGGAAGGGGCGGCGACGAAGGCGACGGCGAGGGAGGAGUUGGAGGCGUUGUAGGAGUAGUAGAGGUGGGAGUCGAGGGCGGAGAGGACGGUGCAGUUGGCGAAGACCUUGUUGUUCUUGAACUUGGUGGAGGGGCAGGCGGUGGCUGCCUGAGAGGGGGAGAUUAGAAGAGCCGAGAGGGAGACCAGGAGGAAGAGGAGGAGGGGAGAGAAGGAAGCCAUUGGGGAGAGAGUGAGAGUGAGUAGUGCUUGCUUUGCUAAAUGGAAGGGAAGCUUUAAGCAAGUAGGGUUAUUUAUAUCCAUGGCCGGAGUGAGGUGUGGAGAUAAACGUGGAGCUUCAAUGUUU
rnacentral:lncRNA from 1 species